rnacentral:rRNA from 1 species
GUACACGCUGUGACUAGCAUAUCAAUAAGCGGAGGAAAAGAAACUAACAAGGAUUCCCCUAGUAACGGCGAGUGAAGCGGGAAGAGCUCAAAUUUGAAAUCUUAAAGGGUUUCCCUUUACGAAUUGUAGUUUAAAGAAGUGUUUUCUGUUGAGGUUUUGGUAAAAGUUCUUUGGAAUAGGACAUCAUAGAGGGUGAGAAUCCCGUAUUUGACCUUUACUUUCAACUUUGUGAUACACUUUCAAAGAGUCGGAUUGUUUGGGAAUGCAGUCCAAAAUGGGUGGUAAAUUUCAUCUAAAGCUAAAUAUUGGCGAGAGACCGAUAGCGAACAAGUACCGUGAGGGAAAGAUGAAAAGAACUUUGAAAAGAGAGUUAAACAGUACGUGAAAUUGUCAAAAGGGAAGCGUUUGACACCAGUGUUGUUUUUCUGAAAAUCGAUUAAAGAACUGUUUAUGCUAAGUUGUUUAGACUUUAUCAGCUAUCUGUUUAGUUUUGAGCUUUUCUUUAAUGCACUUUUCAGUUAACAAGUCAACAUCAAUUUCUUUUGCUGUAAAAAAGCUUGAGGAAAGGUGGCUUGAGAUUCGUCUUAAGUGUUUAUAGCCUCUUGCCUAUGCAGUCCGGAGAGAUUGAGGUCUGCAGCGUAGAUCCUUCGGGGCUAAAUGCAUUUGUGCUAAGUUAUAGCAUUUUAUAGACAACUUGUUGACUAUGAUUUGUCUUGUAGCUUACUCGCUUAUGUUAUUUUACCUACGCUUAGGAUGUUGAAGUCAUCGUAUCGCGC